UGGGGAAUAUUGCACAAUGGGGGAAACCCUGAUGCAGCGACGCCGCGUGAGUGAAGAAGUAUUUCGGUAUGUAAAGCUCUAUCAGCAGGGAAGAAAGUGACGGUACCUGAAUAAGAAGCCCCGGCUAACUACGUGCCAGCAGCCGCGGUAAUACGUAGGGGGCAAGCGUUAUCCGGAUUUACUGGGUGUAAAGGGAGCGUAGACGGCAAGGCAAGUCUGAAGUGAAAGCCCGGUGCUUAACGCCGGGACUGCUUUGGAAACUGUUUGGCUGGAGUGCCGGAGAGGUAAGCGGAAUUCCUAGUGUAGCGGUGAAAUGCGUAGAUAUUAGGAAGAACACCAGUGGCGAAGGCGGCUUACUGGACGGUAACUGACGUUGAGGCUCGAAAGCGUGGGGAGCAAACAGG
rnacentral:rRNA from 1 species